rnacentral:tRNA from 1 species
GGCCCUAUCGUCUAGCGGUCAGGACGUGUCUCUUUCAAGGACAAAACCCGGGUUCGACUCCCGGUAGGGCCG